GACUCUGAGCGGUGGAUCACUCAGCUAGUGCAUCAAUGAAGAACACAGCUAGCUGUGAGAACUUAUGUGAAUUGCAGGACACAUUGAUCAUCAACACUUCAAACACACUCUGAGGCCCCGGGUUACACCCGGGGCUACCCUUGUUUGAGAGUCG